rnacentral:rRNA from 1 species
GACGUAGGGGGCGAGCGUUGUCCGGAUUUAUUGGGCGUAAAGAGCGUGUAGGCGGCCUGAAAGGUCAGCUGUGAAAACUCGAGGCUCAACCUCGAGACGUCGGUUGAAACCAUCUGGCUAGAGUCCGGAAGAGGAGUGUGGAAUUCCCGGUGUAGCGGUGAAAUGCGCAGAUAUCGGGAAGAACACCCGUGGCGAAGGCGGCACUCUGGGACGGUACUGACGCUGAGACGCGAAAGCGUGGGGAGCGAACAGG